rnacentral:lncRNA from 1 species
CAAUUAUGAGAGGCCAUUGUUUUGGACAAAGCUCAUGUACCAGACCCCAACAGACUAGGCCAAACAAAAAUGGAGUCGCUUAUGCUAAAUGUGACAUGAUCAAACUGAAACUUUAAGGAAAUAGAUCCUGUAAAUAAAUCCCACUUCUUACACCAUCUAUUAAAAGAACAACUUCAGACUUUUUUUUUUUUUUAAUUUCCUUUGAGGUGCAGUAUUCUUUGGACACAAAUAAUGAAGGAUCCUUCUCCAGGAGACACAAGACUAAGAAAAAUGUCCUUAAGGCACCUGAAUGGACACCUGCACUUCUGAUAGGUCCUGGUGUCACCUGAUACCUAGUUGCAAACUGAAACGGGAGGUAGAGGAAGAGGGUUAGAUGAACCCACAUGGAGGACCGAAACCCAGAUCUCAGCAUCCAGUCCUGCGACCUGGAGGACUCUAUGAUCUCUAAGUGGAUGAACUAGACCUCUACUGCCUCACCAGAUAUCCCUUUUCCUUUGUCUCCAGGAACCUGUCGGAAGAGAAGGGAAGCAGUGUGUACUGAAUGCCAUUUCUGGGCCAGGCAUUGUUCUAGGCACUUUACCUAUGUUCACUCACUUACUUCUCAUAAAACUCAUGUUUCCAUUUCACACAGUAAAAUGAGGCUCCAAAGAGUUACAUCAUUUGUAGUAAAUAGCAGAAUGAGGAUUCAAACCUUCCUGACUCCCAAGUCCUGCCUCUUGCUUAUUGCACACCAAUUCCCCUAAGCUAGGAUGAUGAUAUUGCAGUGCCACUCUCAUGAAAAGCCCAGGGUGGUGAGAAGGGUGUCUGCUGGCUCUCUCCUUGGACUCCAAAGGCAGUUGACAGUCUCCUAACAUUCACAAAUGUAAUUGAAUGCAACCUCCACAUUUUUUGAGAUCUGUACUCUUUUACAAAGCUCAUUCAUUUAGUCACAGCCUAAUCAUGAGCUCUUUAUUGGGAAAUUCAACGUUUGGUGGAACCAGAGACAUGGCACUGAUCCUCUGCAUCUGUAUUAGUUUGUGUUUAUUGAAUUACUUAUGUGCCACUCCAGGAAACACCAGUAUUAAUAUUUUGACCUGGCAAAAAGCGAAAAUGAUUAACUCAGUAAUGUGAAACUGUUGAUGCAAAUUUGCAACUAGAAUUAGAACACAGACUGAGAUCAACAGUCAGUCUGCUGUUUGCUCUUUUGAGUACUGUUUGCAUGGAAAGUUAAGGAUGAAAGUAAACCAAAUCAAGAGUGGUUCCAUUCUUAAACCUUCAAAGGCUUAAUGGGAUGUUUAGUUCAGUGCCUUAAAGCACAUAAAUAGCUGUAAGCUCAGCAACAUGGUUCCGAUGUCUAGAUUAGAUUUACCAGUCUUUGUUUAUACAUGCAAAGUCAAAUAGAGGACUGAUGCAAUUAUCAGUAUAAUUCAGGCCAAAUGUUUGCUACAUGAAUAUUUAGCUGGUCAUUACUAAGUGGGGGAACUUUUUUGCUACCAUUCCUCUAACGGUCUUAUAUCUCUAUUUUAUAUUUGUCAGAUACAGCUUUAAGAUAAGCAGCCAAGAUCCCACUUUUCAGUGCAAUAAAUUAAUAUGUCAUUUAGCCUCUUAAAGCUCCCCUCUUGCCCUUCUGAAAAUGGACAUAAACUAUUAGGUUGGUGCAAAAGUAAUUUCAGUUUAUAUGCCUUAUAAAGGUUUUGCCUUUGAUCUCUACAUUGAAUCCAUCUGCACAGCCCUGGAAAGGAAGUAAAUAAAGAAUUGCAGCAAUUAAAGAAUCUCCUGUUCUCCUCAGUUCUCACUACCCCGAUAAUACCCUCUUGAAUUCUAAACAAAAUGCAUGAUUUAAAUACAAUCAGUAUAAGGUUAAAUAUUCCCCUCCAACAAACGGUCCAUUAUGCAUCUUUCCAGAUUCUCUUUUAAUUGUGUGUGAAACUGGGUGUUCUUGACAGUUAAAUGAAAUCUAAUUGUUACAUGGCCUAUAUUUGGCCCUUAGAAAACAAAGGGUCAUAGCUUUUUCUUUCAGAUUGUUGAAGAGAUGGAACAAUUGUUCUGAUCUCUUGAGAAGUGUAUGUAAGUGGUUGAAAAAACUACACCUCUGUAAGUGUCUAACUUAAUCCCUUUAGCAACUGAGAGGAUCAUGAUCAAGAGCAGGACUUACAAAAGAUUAUGUCCAAAUUCUUGACUACCCAAACCCUAUUCCUCCAGAAUAUAUUCUUUAUGUGCCUUAUUAGGAAGAAACUCAAGAAUGGAAACAUUUUAUAUUUGUGUAACACUCUUUUACAAAGCACUUUAACAUGUAUUGUUUCAUUUUGCUUGCUUAACAGCCCUUUGACAUGGACAGGGAAUACUGUCUACAUUUUAUAAAGAGAAACUGAGGCCCAAAGAGGUUAAGUAGUGGCCUGUCCAAAAUCACAGAAUUAAUAAGAGAAGCCUGGGACCCAAGAUCAUAUUUCCUAAGUCCAAAUUUAGUGAUGUCUCUAUUCUUCCUCACUAGUUCCCUGCUCAUAAAAUGUCAGUAGAGAGGGGGCUAUCAAAACUGAUCCUUUCAUUCAUAUCCCAAAUCUCAGCAUCAUGCAAUAUGCCAGGUAGCAAACCUGUGCAUGUACCCCAAAUCUAAAAUAAAAUUGAAAAAAAUUAAUAAAUUGUUAUUUUUUGAAAUGGAUUCUUUCACAUCUUGGAUUUUCACUUUUAUUUUUUAAAAGUCAGACAUUUCAAGAUCUUGAGACCUAGUAAAGCCUUUAAGAAAUUAGUAAUAUCAUGUUUAAUUACUAGAAAUGAAUUUCUUCUCUUAUUUGCUCUGUAAUCAUAAGGCAUAAGUAACCUAAAAGAGCUCACUUCAUGAAUAGCCUGCAAGGCCGAUGGGUCAUCAAUAAGACCCUGAAUAAAGCCAACUGUUAACUGAGUGCCAGUUCCAUUCUAUGUAGCUUGGCAUUUUUCACAAAUGUGAUACAAGUUUCCUUUUGCUUUAUUUAUCUAUUUCCUUAUGUAACUGACCUUAAGUGAUUGUAUAACAGUGCAAGACUGUGAUUCAGUGCACUGUUCUUUCCUACUUAGUAUUAUUACAAGCUAUUGGAGAAAUACUGCUGAUGUUCUCCGAAAAGGAAGCUUUUAAUAUUCCAUUUAAAGAUAUUGUUGUGUUUUUCUGGGAGAAGGAAUAAAAG